rnacentral:lncRNA from 1 species
GGAAUGCCUUGAAUUUUGAAUUUCCGACUCAGGAUUUGUUUCCUUCCAUCACCAAAUGGAAGGGCUAACCAAGGCAUUUCUGAAUAGAACUCGUCAAAGGUGGAUUGAUCUCUGUCGCUUGAGAUGAAGAUCACCUCAAAUGCGUUGUCUUUUCUUUUAAUUGUGUGGUAUGCUUCAAUUAGCUUGGGUAAAAAGGCACGACAUGGAGGGCACCAAUGAGCUGAGAAGUAAAGAAGAAUGUUCUUUCCAACUAGAUCGGACACUGGGACCUAAUCAAGAGCAAACCAUUUGAAUGAUAUAAAAAACCUUUGCUAAUGAAUUCAAUUCGUGAUCAUAAGAAAGUUAUUGAAAGUAAUGCAAUAACAUGCGAGGUUAGCAUAGAACAAAAAACAUUACCUUGGAGCCACUUUUGUCAAUCAAAAAAUCAUUUUCCCCAUUAACCAAAACUGACUCAAGCGUCUGCGAUUCCAGUUUUGCCUUUUCAAUUGCAGCUAGCUCGUCAAGCUUUUCCGGUGUAAAUGGGUAGGCUUCAAUACCAUGUUCUUCGAUUAGUUCAGCUACAUUUGGGUUCAAAGUCUUCCCAUCUUGGCCAAUUAUGACAAGAUUAGGAAUGGUUCUAAGUUCAAAAUACCGCACUAGCUUCUCGCAGCUCUUGUCCUUAAAAGGCAAUGCCAACCAAGGCAUUGUCUCAAAACUCUCUUUGAAGUCUUCUUCUUCGUCGUCUAGAGAUAGUAGGACUACUUCAAAGUUCUCUCUUUUUUCCUUGAGCGUCUUAUACAGUUCCACUAGUUUAGGAGUGAAUUCACGGCACAUCCUAUGAGCAUGGGCUGAAAAAUACAAGCCAACCAAUUUUCCUUCAAGGUCCGACACAGGGAUCUGCCAUUACAGAUAGCAAAAAUGUGAAUUAUGGCAUCAUCAAUUCAAUUUCAAAACUAGCUAAUUGAAUGAACCAUCUACCUUUUUUCCAUCAUUUGAAAUCACAUAAUCACGUGAGCUUGAAACCAAGAUAGAGCUUAUGGUUUGAUUCUUCUUAGCAUUCUCUUCUUGCUCUUUAAGGAAAUUCAGUCUAUCAAGGUUGAACGGAUACCCAUCCACGCCAUGUUCCUUGACAUGUCUGACUCCAUUAUCGCAGGAAACCUUACCAUUAGUAUCAAAAAUAACAAGUUUAGGGAUCCCUCUUACUUUGAACACUUCCUUAAGACGUUGGCGGGUCUCCGUAUCAGGGAAGGGAAUAGCAAGCCAAGGCAUUUCGGAGAAGUAUGUGUUGAAGGAUUCAUCGUCUCCGUCAGAAGAAACGAAGACGACCUCAAAGUCCCCUUUGGAUGAUAGUUGUUCAUAGACUUCUACCAACAAUGGAGUGAAAUUACGGCAUGGGCCGCACCACGAACCAGAGAAAUAGAAUCCCACAAUCUUCCCAACCAAAUUGCUGAACUUAACCUAAAAAUUAGUGUCGAGCAUAAUCAGAAAAAAAAAAAAAACAUUAGCCCAUAAAUUAAGAGGGUAAACAAAAACUGAGGCUUUUCUUAAUCAUAAAAGCUCUAGAAAUUGGUCAUAAACUUGUUCUUCAGCAAGGGUCGCACUCUAAUUUAAACAUGAUAUCCAUCUUAAUUACGAGAAAAAGUUUAAUAAGACAAGUAGAAGUAGAUCGCAUAAGACCAGAGAAAUCCAUAAGCUAAAAGCAGUACCUGGUCACCAUUGUUGCGGAUGAGAAAGUCCCUCUCUUCCGACGAAAGAAGGGAUGAAAGGUCGUGCGAAACGUCUUCGUUGGCCAUUGUUAAGUGAUGAACUACUCAAAAUGCUAUAACAAUUGCCGAUUCCAAACGCUAUUUAUUGGGACAAACUGGGAUGGUUCCUUUUAAGUUACUUGCACAGCACGCCUAGGGAAUUAUCAUACGUCAACGAUGACAUGUAAAUUUGGAUGGUGAUGCCAAAUUAAAACAUCAUUCUCCUUAUCUAAAUACCAUAGUUAUUAAACCCGGCCCGGGGGUUGACCCGGCCAAGGGACCGGGUCCCGGGUUUCAUGGGUCAACCCGGGUCAACCCGGAUUAACCCGGAAAAAUUAAAAAAAAUUAAAGUUUUAAUAUUUCAUAUGAAAAAAUCUAUGUAAAUAUAGAUUAUACAUAUUAUGAAGUUUAAAAUAAUAUUUUAAAAAGUUUUUUAUCCCACAUUGAAAAAACAUAACUUUUUUCUUAGAAACAUAGAGUAUAUAUACUAAUGAGUUUCAAAUCCCACAUUGAAAAGAUAAUAUAUUAUCCUUUUAAGUUGAAGUAUUUAAACCAAAAGGUUUUUUAUCCCACAUUGAAAAAACAUGAUUUUUUUCUUGGGAACAUAGAGUAUAUAUAUUAAUGGGUUUCAAAUCCCACAUUGAAAAAACAUGGUUUUUUUUUCAUGGGAACAUAGUGUAUAUAUAUGAAAGGGUUUCAAAUCCCACAUUGAAAAGAUAUCAUGUUAUCCUUUUAAGUUGAAGUAUUUAAACCAAAAAGUUUUUUAUCCCACAUUGAAAAAACAUGGUUUUUUUCAUGGGAACAUAGUGUAUAUAUAUGAAAGGGUUUCAAAUCCCACAUUGAAAAGAUACCAUGUUAUCCUUUUAAGUUGAAGUAUUUAAACCAAAAGGUUUUUUAUCCCACAUUGAAAAAACAUGAUUUUUUUCAUGGGAACAUAGUGUAUAUAUAUGAAAGGGUUUCAAAUCCCACAUUGGAAAGAUACUAUGUUAUUUUUUUAAGUUGAAGUAUUUAAACCAAAAGGUUUUUUAUCCCACAUUGAAAAAACAUGGUUUUUUUCAUGGGAACAUAGUGUAUAUAUAUGAAAGGGUUUCAAAUCCCACAUUGGAAAGAUACUAUGUUAUCCUUUUAAGUUGAAGUAUUUAAACCAAAAGGUUUUUUAUCCCACAUUGAAAAAACAUGAUUUUUUUCAUGGGAACAUAGUGUAUAUAUAUGAAAGGGCUUCAAAUCUCACAUUGAAAAGAUACUAUGUUAUCCUUUUAAGUUGAAAUAUUUAAACCAAAAGAUUUUUAUCCCACAUUGAAAAAACAUGGUUUUUUUCAUGGAAACAUAGAGUAUAUAUACUAAUGGGUUUCAAAUCCCACAUUUGAAAAAAAAAAAAAAAAAAAAAACCCGGGUCUCGUCCGGGUCACCCGGGUUCCGGGUUGACCCGCCGGGUCGCCCGGGUUUGGCCGGGCUGUUGCCACAGCCGGUCUUUUAUUAAACCCGGCCCGGUCCAGCCACCGGGUCGACCGGGUCCCGGGUCGACCCGCCGGGCCGGGCCGGGUUUAAUAACUAUGCUAAAUACCAGUAGGUUCGAGAAACUGGUAUUAAACAUGCUUUCCCACGUGCUUUUACACACCUCCUUUUGCUUUUUUGUUUAAAAAAGAAAAAGAAAAAGAAAAAAACAUAUUUUUUUUUUUUUAAUUUCUCUCUCUUUUGUUUUAUCCUUAUUUCUUUUCCUUUAAAGAUUCAUACAGUCACCCAGUCACUCUUCACUUUUUACCUUAUUAGUUUAUACAGCUGGGUCAGGCAAGGAUUUAGUCUAGCAGCCAUAACAUUGGGUCUCAUAUAGUUGCUUGUCUAAGCAUCUUGGAUCAUCAGGCAUGGAUUAGGUGUAACAGGCAAGCCAGUUCCAAUUCAUGGGUAUGGUAUAAUUACCCUCAUAAUUAUCACAUUGAGCUUGCCUCUGCAGGUCAACCAAAGAUCCGGGUAAUCUAGGACCUUAGUUAGGUAUAUUUAAUUUAAAAUUCAGGUCUGUAAUUGGCCUAAAUAAAACCGGUCAUCUUGUUAGGUUAACUCGGAAUUUGAUUGACCCAGUAAAACUCAAUAGAUACCUGUUUUUUUAAAAUAUAUUUUUUCUCUUAACUAGAGAUCCUUUUCUUUCAUAUUUUUUAGUUGGUUAUAACUUAUUUCAAAGUUCACUAUAUAAAUACUAGAAGAAUGUUUUUAUUUUUUUAAUGUGAGAUUUGAAGCACUGUAGUAUAUAUACUCUAUGUUUACAAGAAAAAAGUUAUGUUUUUUCAAUGUGGGAUAAAAAACCUUUUUGAUUUAAAUACUUCAACUUAAAAUAAUAUGAUAAUAUCUUUUAAAUGUGAGAUAAAAAAUCUUUUAAAAUAAUCUUUUAAAUUUAAUUAUUUACAACAUGUAUAGCCUAUAUCCACACAGAUUGUUUCUUAAUUUUUUUCAUAUGAAAUAUUAAAACCUCAUAUAUUUUUUUAAAAUUUUUCCAAGUUGACCCAGGUCAACCCGUGAAAUCCGGGUCUCGGCUCCUGGGCCGGGUUUGAUAACUAUGGGUGCAAUAAAAAUAUAACUUUAAAGAAUGCAAUUAAAAAAAAUAAAGUGACGUGACCGGUUAAAAAAAUAAAAACUAAAAAAAUGUACAGAACCUCAUUUUUAUUUUUAUUUUUGCUCAGGGAGCCUCUUUUAAAUAAUAUUGAUUUUUUUUGUUAUGUGUUUAAUUUUCGGAGUGGUUUUUUUGGUUCAUCUAUGGUUUUGUUUUUAUUUUUUAUAUAGAUAAAAUAUGUUUUUGAAAAUAAAAAAUGUUUAAAUUUAGAUGAUAUUUUUAAUGUGUGUAGUUUUACAUGUUAUUCUUUUUUUUUAUUCAAUCAAUUUAAUGUAUUAUUUUUCACGAUUCAAUAUAUUAAUCUACAUUUAUCUCUCGAUUUUUUAAGUUUUGUUUUUAGAUGUCAUAAAUAAUUUUUUAUUGAUUUAUUAGUGCACAUAAUUCUUAGUUUAUUUGAUUACUUAUGUGCAUCAACAUUUUGAUUUGUUAUAGUUUUUGAACUAUCAAAAUACAUUGAAAAAACCUGUAUAAAUAUUUUUUUAUAAAAAUAAAAAUAUUUAACUUACAGUAAAGCGGGACACGUAGCUAAUAAAUUCUAUUAAAUGAGUUAGCAAGGUAGAAAACAAACUUGUAAUAGAUUUGUGCACAUUGUCAUUUCACCAUAAGUUACAUUAGCUCUCAAAACUUUUACGUAGAAACUUAUAAUACUAGAACUAACCAAACAUACUACCAGAAAUGUACUAAUCUUGCAACAAAAUAAGAAUCAACACAUCAAAUUUCCUUAGUGCCUUUGAAACAUAAAAUGUAAAUUAUUAGGGCACAAUUAAUAAUAACUUAUAGGUAAUAAUUAAUCUUCAUCAAAUAUGCUAAAUAACAUAAAUCAACUUUGUCAAACAUAAUUAUUGUGAACAUUGAUAUUUUUUUUAGCCCUGUUUGUUUCAUGAAAAAUGGUUUUUUAGAAAUUAUUUUCCAAACUUUUCUGUGUUUAUUUGUCAUUAGAAAAAUUAAUCAACAAAAAAAACUUUCCAAUCAAAGAAAAAUUUAACUUUGUUUCUAGAAAAGUGUUUUUCUUUUAUUUUGGGUGGAAAACACUUUCUAGAAGUUGUGAAAAAUUUAGAAAUGUCUUGUUAUUUGCUGAUUAUAUCAAAUUUGAUCCUCAAACUUUUAAUUGUUAUAUAUUUUGUUUUGAUUUUUUUCUUUCAAUUUCAUCAUUUAGAAUUUGAUUUAAUUUGAUUUUUAUAUCAAUUUUGGUCUUUAUUUUUAUUAUUGUUAUUUGCUUUUCUCUUGUCAUUUUCUUAAUUGAAAUUUUUUUAUCUAUCAAAUCUAGUCCUUAUUUUUUUUAUUGUUAUUUAUUUUAUUUGAAAUAAUUUAUAAAAUUAUAUAUUUUUUUAAUUUCAUCAUCUUUCAAUGUUUUUAUUUGUUAGAUUUGAUCUCUAUUAUUUUGAUUGUUAUUUAUUUUAUUUGAGAUAAUUUAUGAAAUUAGAUUUUUUUAAUUUUAUUAUCAUUUAAAUUUUUAAUUUGUAAUAUUUGUUCCUUAUUAUUUUAAUAAACUUAAAAAAAAAUAAUUUAUUUUCCAGCUCAUUUUGCAUGAUAUAGUUAAAUACUAGAAAAUGUUUUUAAAUUUUUUUGUUUUAUGAUACUAUCAAAAAUCAAAAAAAUAAUUUACUUUUUAAAAAUUUAAUUUUCAAGAAAAUUACCUUUUUUAAAAAAAUAUAUGUUUUUAGCAAAGAAAGGGGUUAAUGUUAAAUUUUUUUAUAUAUGACAUGGGGGCAGAGUGCAAGCCAGCUAGCCGGAUAGUCUUUGGUGGAUGUUCUUUAUACGAUUUUUUUUAGAUGGAAAUCUGAGCUUUAUUGACCAUGUAUGUCUUGCCAAGUGGCUUCUUUUCUUUCCUUAACUGUCAUGUCUCAUUUGAUAAUUGGGAAUUCCUGUCAGGGCUUCUUUAUUUUAUUGUUAUAUUAGUUUGGUUUUGUGUUUUUUUAAUCAAGUUGGUGGGUCCAGAAAUUAUGAUGUCGUCAAGGUUCUUUCCUCGACUUGUCUCUAAUUCUUGAAUAUAUUAACAAAACUUUUAAAAUACGUAAAAAUUAAAUAUACUAUAAAUCAACAAACAAUUUAUUUGGAUUUAUUUUUUUAUAUAUAUAGACACACACACUGUAAAUCAAGACAUAAUUAACUAUGAACUUGCAUAGUUAUUUUACUAUAUAUUAAAACAUUUGGAAAAAACACUGGAGAUUUACUAUGAACACAAACACAUUGUUCUAUGAAAGACACUAUGUCAUAGAGUAUUUGCACUGUGGACGACACUGUAGCACCCUGGGAGCGUUCCUUUCCUUUGUUUUUAGUCAAGAAUUGCGGCUGGGGGUGUGACAUUCUUUGCCGAAAGCCGUUGGGUCUGCCUUUGGUAGCUGGACCUAACGCUGUUGGGUCUGGUUGACAAGUCAGACCCAAAACACUUCCAAAACAUGUCAAUAGCGUUGGGUCCUGCAUCCCAGCCAGACCCAACAGAGUAUUUGACUGUGGACACAGAGUGUUUGACUGUGGAUGACACUGUCUGUAGCGCCUGUCAGAGGCGUUAUCUUUUCUGUUUGUAAGUCAGAAAGGGUUGUUGGGUCGUUGCAGCAGGACCCAAUAGCUUUGGGUCCUGCUGGAACCAUUAGAGUUUGGUCUUGCCCUAGUAGGACCCAAGACUGUAAUUUUUUUUCCUUUUUCAUACGGGUAUGGCUGCGUAACCAGACCCAACAGCCAUACCCCAAUUAAAUUUCUUGGCCGUUACCUUCUCUAAUUUAAAUUUAUUUUUUAAAAUAAAUUGAUUGUACUGUGGACACCACUAUAGCACCUUCCCAGAUCGAUCCCAGCUUUAUCAUCUACACACGCACGCACAUGCACUUUUUUCCUUUGUCGACAAGGAAUUAAAGUUGAUCAAUGCAAGAAAGUAGUAAGAUCACUGACAUCGGCAUACGAAGAUUGUAAAAAAAAUUGAUUUCCUUUGGUGGAUGGAUUGGGAAUCCAUGUUAUCACAUAUGUGAGAAUUCAAUCCCGCAUGCCUCUGUACAUUGUAAAUAUAUAUCUUUUUCACUACAGUAUAACACCACCAUUGAAUAUUAAUGGAAGACCAUUGAUCAAUAAGGACGACUGGCUUCCAAACCCAGUAGCCAUACCUAAUUAAAUUUCUUUGUCGUUGCCUUCUCUGACUUAAAUUUAUUUCUUAAAAUAAAUUGAUGAUAUUUUUUUUUAUAUUGUAUCAAAGUUGUGUGAUGAUAAUUUUUUUUUCCAUUUCAAGUUGGGUUGAAUUUCCUAAUUAAAUCAUGUUUGAUUUUGCGUUUCAGAAAUUCUUUGAAAUUUUUUUGACAAUUUUUAAGUUUUUUUCUUUGCUUCAAAUUAAUAUUUUUGUUAUGUUUUUGUAUUUUUUUAAAAAAAUAUAUGUUGAGAUUUUGUCUGGCUGGGAUGUUAGACCAAGAAAUUUUUUAAUUUUUCAAUUUUUUUCUUUACUUCAAAAUAAUAUUUUCUUCAUGUUUUUGUAUUAUUUUUUAAAUAAUUUUUUUUAAAAAAUAUAUAUUGAUAUUGUGUCUGGUUGAGAGGUGAGAACCAAGAAAUUUAAAUUUUUUUAAUUUUUUCUUUAUUUUAAAUUAAUAUUCUUUUGAUAUUUUUGUAUUAUUUUUCAAAAAAUUAUACUGAAAUUGGGUCUGGCCGCGUAGCCAGAUCCAUGGCUGCGUUGGCCCCUGCCUUCCAGCAUGACCCAACAGCGUUGCCCACUACUCAUAAUAGGACUCAACGCUUAAUUGGACCCUGCUGCCUCCAUGCCCAACAACUUUUGCAACUAGGACCCAACAACGGUGGGCUCGGUCUCCGAGCAGGACCCAAUAUGCGUUGCCAGCCUGGGCGAUUGGGUCCUUUCCGCUGAAGGCACUUGACUGUGUAGCAAGCAUCGAAAACACAAGCUCAGUAGCAAUUCAUUUUUGCAACUAGACAGGCUAUAAACAAGCCUAUAAGCCCUUUUUUCUCUUAAAGAGAGAGAUUCAUACUUAUCAAUAUUACAAGGGAAAGAAAAGAUCCGAAACCGAAAAGGGAUUAUCUUGAUUUGAUUGCUUUCUAAAUAGGAUGUGCAUUUCUCCUAGAACCAGUUGGCUUACAGGCUUACAGGGAACCAAAAAUGCUUGGAAGUGACAAUUAGAUUUCUCUUAUUUAAAUUUAUUUUUCAAAAUAAAUUGAUGAGACUUUUAUUAUAUUGAUUAAAAGUUGGGUGAUGAUUUUUUUUUUCAUUUCAAGUUGGGUUGAAUUUUCUAAUUAAAUCAUGUUUGAUUUUGCGUUUCAAAAUUUUUUUGAAAUUUUUUGGAUAAUUUUUAUUUUUUUUUCUUUACUUCAAAUUAAUAUUUUUUUUUUAUGUUUUUGUAUUAUUUUUUAUAAAAAAAAUAUGUUGAGAUUGUCUCUGACUCGAAGCCAGACCCAAGAAAUUUUAAAAUUUCAAUUUUUUUCUUUACUUCAAAAUAAUAUUUUUUUUGAUGUUUUUGUAUUAUUUUUAAAAUAUAUUAUCUAAAAACAUAUAUUGAGAUUGUGUCUGGAUGAGAGGGAAGACCCAAGAAAUUUAAUUUUUUUUUUCUUUACUUCAAAUUAAUAUUCUUUUGAUACUUUGGUAUUAUGUUUUUAAAUAUCAUUUUAAAAACAAUUAUGUUAAGAUUAGGUCUGGUUGCGUCACCAGACCCAUGGCAGCAGUGGGCCCUGCCUACAAGCAGAACCCACCGCUACUAGGUCCUUCUGUCAAGCAUGACUCAAUGAUGUUGGGCCCUGCUGCCCAGCAGCGAUGGGCCACCCUCCAGGACCUAUUAGCUUUGGGUCUUGCGGCCAGCACGACCCAUCAAAAAGCAUUGGGUCUUGCUGGGGGCAGGACCCAAUAAGCCAAUACUGUAAUGUGUUUUUCUUUUCUCUUAUUUUUUUUCACAGGGUAAAGAGGAAAUAUUAUUAUUAUAUUAUUAUGUUAUUGUUAUUGUUAUUGUUAUUCUUAUCAUUAAUAAAUUCAAAGAAACAAAAUUAUUACGAUUGAAGAAAAACCAUAAAUUUUAUUUAAAGAGAUUAAAAAAUAUAAAAACUUGAGUCAGACAAGUUUAACAUUAUUAUUAGUAUUAUAAAUAUUAUUAUUUUUAUUAUAGGUAAUACUAUUAAUAUAAUAAUUAAUAAAUUUGAAAAAAAUAUCAUUAAUAUUGAAAAAUAACCAUGGAUUUGAUUUGAAUGUUAAAAUUAAAAAUUAUUAUUAUUAUUAUUAACUUGGGUUUGGCAUCCCCUUCUAAACUUGAGAAACUUGGGGCACGAAAGGGACACAUGAUCGAAGUUGCUUGGGAGAGGCAAGAGCGCGGAUUCAAGUCCCUUAGGUCUUGCAGCCGCGCCUGACCCACCAUAUUUGGGUUAGGUGUUUGGAGCAAAGCUUGGGUCUGGCUGCAAUGCCAGACCCAAGAGCGUUGAGUCUGGCUGAAAGGACGGACCCCAAGCUCAGGGGUCUUUCUUUUUAAAUAGACCCAAUGCUCUUGCGAGCUGGACCCAUUAAAGUUAAAACAUGCUGCCACCAGAGCCCAGCAGCAGUGGCCCUGCUGCCAGCCCCACCUGCCUAGCAAGACCCAAUGUUGUUGGGUCCUUCUGUUAAGCAUGACCCAAUGAUGUUGGGCCCAGAUGGGUACCCAGCUACUGGGUCAUUCUGCCGAGCAUGACCCAAUGAUGCUGUAACUUUAAUGCGUUCGGAUUGCAGCCAGAUCCAAUGCUCUUGGGUCUAACAUUAAUAAGGGGCGCAAAGCUCUUGGGUCUGAUGUUGCAGCCAGACCCACUUACUCUUUGAUAAGUUUAAUAUUGUUAUGAAUAUUAAAAAUAUUAUUAUUUGUAUUAGAAAUAUUCUUAUUUUUAUUAUAAUUAAUAUAGUAAUUAACAAAUUUGAAAAACAAAUUUAAUAUUGAAAAACAACUAUAGAUUUGAUUUAAAGGGUAAACUUAAAAAUUAUUAUUAUUAUUAUUAUUAUUAUUAUUAUUAUUAUCAUCAUUAAUAAAUUUUUUUAAAAAAUUAUUAUUGUGGAAGAAAAACCAUAAUUGUUUUGUGAAUAGAUUAAAAAAAAUAAAAACUUGGGUCAGACAAGUUAUAUAUUAUUAUUAAUAUUAUAAAUAUUUUUUUAAAAAAAACUAUAUUGAGAUUGUGUCUGGCUGAGUAGUGAGACCCAAGAAAUUUUAAAAUUUUUAUUUUUUUUCUUUACUUCAAAUUAAUAUUCUUUUUAUAUUUUUGUAUUAUUUCUAAAAAAAUUAUACUUAUUAUAUAUUAUAUUAUAUAUGUACAUAUUUUUAUUUUCUAUAUUAAAACGCGUUAUCUUUGUUGUUUGUAAGUAAAAAAUUACGGCGGAUUAAUGGAUCCUGCUACCACCAGGACCUAAUAGCGUGAGACCCUGUUGCGAGUAGGAUCCCAUUGGCGUGAGGUUCUAUUGCCUGCAAGAUCCCAUAGUGCUGGGUCCUUUAGGACCCAUUAGUGUUGGAUCCUGCAAGACCCAUCAGCUUUGGGUCCUGCGGCAAUCAAAACCCAUAAAAAAGUGUUGGUCUUGCCACCAGCAGAACCCAAUACUGUAAUGUGUUUUUCUUUUUUCUUAUUUUUUUCUUAAAGGGUAAAGAGGAAAUAUUAUUAUUAUAUUAUUGUUAUUGUUAUUGUUCUUUUUAUCAUUAAUAAAUUCAAAGAGAAAAAUGAUUACUAUUGAAGAAAAACCAUAAAUUUUAUUUGAAGAGAUUAAAAACAUAAAAACUUGGGUCAGGCAAGUUUAACAUUAUUAUUAAUAUUCUAAAUAUUAUUAUUUUUAUUAUAGUUAAUAUUAUUAGUAUAAUAAUUAAUAAAUUUGAAAACAAAUAUCAUUAAUAUUGAAAAACAACCAUAGAUUUGAUUUGAAGGGUAAAAUUAAAAAUUAUUAUUAUUAUCAUCAUUAAUAAAUUUGAAAAACAAUAUUAUUACUAUCAAAUAAAAAUAAUAAAUUUUAUUUAAAGGGAUUAAAAACUAUAAAAACUUGGGCCAAAUAAAUUUAAUAUUAUUAUUAAUAUUAUAAAUUUUAUUAAAUUCAUUAAUAUAUUAAAUUUGCAAUGAAUUUCAUUACUAUUUAAAAAAAACAUAGAUUUGAUUUGAAGGGUAAAAUCAAUUAUCAUCAUAAUCAUCAUCAUCAUCUACGCGGAGAAGACGGUUAUAAGUAGGAUUUGGGUGCGGCUCUGCAGCCAGACCCAGAGAUAUUGGUUAUGGCUGCACAACCACACCUUUAUUUAUUAGGUGUUGCUCCGCAGCUACACCCAAUAGAUAAACCUGAUUGGAUUGGGUCCUUCUGCCAACUUUUACACCCAAUAGCAGGACCUGAUUGGCUUCGAUCCUGUUGCCAGCAGCACCCAACACCUAUCAACGUUGGGUCCAGUACCAGUAAGACCCAAAAGCUUUGGGUCUGGCGAAACUAGACCCAUCGACGAUGGGUUCUGUUGACAGCUGAAUCUAUCAGCGUUGGGUCCUGUUAAUCAGCAAGGCCCAAAAGUUGUGGGUCUUUCUGUCAGACUCAAUGCUAUUGGAUCUGGCUUGCACUAGACCCAAGACACUUAAAACAAUUUCUACAUUUGACAAAAAAAUUCUUUUUGACACGCUGCGGAGCACAGACUAAUAUGUUAGAUAUCAAACAAUAGCGUGUGUACUGGAUUACUGUGGAAAUUAUUUUUUAUAUAAAAAUAUAAUAAAAUAAUAUUUUUUAUUUUUUAUAAAUUAUUUUUAAGAUUAAAAUUUAAAAUGAUUAAAAAAUAAAAAAUUGUUUUGAAAAAAACAAUUCAUAUUUUUAAAAACAUAGUUUAAAAAGCUACUAGAUGCCAUGUCCGCGCGAUACCGCGAGCUUGUGCAUUGUCGUGGGUUUGUGGAAAAAAUCAUAAAAAAUAAAAAAAAAUCAUAUGGAGAAAACUUGUUGCAAUCCACAAUGUUUUCAAGGAAAAAACUAUAAAGCUAAAUUCUCAACCAGCUUAAUAUUAAAAAAAUAAAAUCGACAAAGAUAAUUUUGAAAAAAAUCAUAACAAAAAAAAACGAAAUGAAAAAAAAUCAUGCAGGGAAACACUAUAGCAAAUAGUGUUUCCUGAGAAAAUCUACAGUUGUAAUUCUCAACCAUUUCAAUAUUAAAAUAAUAAAAUCGAUAAAGAUAAUUUUAAAAAAAAAUCAUAAAAAAAAAUCAUGUGGGGGAACACGGUAGCAAUCCACAGUGUUUUAAAGAAAAAAAACUAUGAAGUUAAAUUCUCAACCAGCUUAAUAUGAAAAAAAAAUCGACAAAGACAAUUCUGGAAAAAAAAUCAUAAAAAAGAACAAAAAAACGAUGUGCGGAAACACUGUAGCAAUCCACGAUAUUUUAAAGAAAAAAACUACAAAGCUAAAUUCUCAACUAGCGCAAUAUUAAAAAAAUAAAAUCGACAAAAACCAUUCUGAAAAGAAAAACACAAAAAAAAGAAAAAGAAAAGAAAGAAGAAGACAAUUUUGGAAAAAACAAAGCAAAAAAAAAUGAAAAAAAAUAGAAAAACAAACAUGCGGGGAAAGUUAAAGCUAAAUUCUCAACCAGCUCAAUAUUAAAAAAAAUUGACAAAGAUAAUUUAAAAAAAAAACAUGUGAGGAAGCACUGUAGCAAAAUAAAAACCUUGUGGGGAAACAUUGUAGCAAUCCAUAAUGUUUUUUUUAAAAAAAACUAUGAAGCAAAAUUUUCAACCAGCUCAAUUUAAAAAAAAAAUCAAAAAAUAUAAUUUUGAAAAAAAACACAAAAAAAACAAAAAAAAACAAAAAAAAAGACAAUCUUGGGGAAAAAAAGGAAAAAAAACAUGUAAAACCCAAAAAAAGGAAAAAAAUGAAAAUAAAUGUUGGGAAAAAUAAAAAAAACACAAAAAUAAAAUAAAAAGAAGACAAUCUUGGAAAAAAAAAACAUGUAAAACAAAUCAAAAAAAAUGAAAAAAAUAUGGGGACUUUCCCCACACAUUUUAGAGUAUUACUAGUUACAUGACCCGCGCGAUGAUGCGGGUUAAUUUUUUUUAUAUAUAAAUAAAAUUUAAAAAAAAACUAAGAUCUAAAAAUAUUAGGUUUUUCUGUAAAGCUAUAUCCAAGAGUUUUGGGUUUGACUGCAACGCCUGACGCAAAAAUAAUAUUUAUAAUUCUUUAUCCUUUGAAAAUGUUAUGUACAAGAUCAAAUGUAUCUUAUGUUUUGAGCAUAAUGAGUAAACGUAAAUCUAAUCCAUGUAAAAGUAAUAGAAAAAUAGUUAAUAAUAAUCUUAAGUACUGAAAAAUAACUAAAAUGUUUUUCUAAUCUAUGAAAGAAAAGAGCUAGUAAUUCAUGAUUAUUUAAAUGCUAGUUUUUAAUUAAAUAUUGAAAAUAAAAAUUUAAUUUGAUUAUAUUAUAUUCUACAUAAUAAUGAUGCUAUGAGUUGAAAGAAUUUUAAAUAAAAGAUCAAAAUAGAUUUUACAACUAAAAUUAAAUAUAUCUCUAUAUUUGAAGGAACAAAAAAUUUUUUUAGUAAUUCUAAUAUUAUUGAUCCAGUAGCUAUGUUUUUUUAUUUUAUUUCCUUUUCACUUUCUAGAACUGCAUUUGGACUUCCACCAUCAUUGCAUGGGUGGAGGGAGUACAUCAGCAGAAAUACGAGAUCCCAACAGGAAACAACUAAACAAAGAACAUAAAGAUCAAACUUGCAUUUCUCCGACAGAGAGAGAGAGAGAGAGGAUACACCCUUGCAUGGGUUUUGUUUUCUACAUAAAAUCCAUUCGUGUCAAGUUCACAACGUGCAACAAGAAAAUAUUCAUGUUGACAAGGGCUUCAAAACACAGAUUGAGAUUCUAAAGAACACUAGUCAUCCACAGUCAAAAGGGAUCACAAAUCAGUACCCUGUUCUCUUCCUUUUGCUAGAAAUCAGUAUUGAAUUUUGUCGAACGAAGACUGCAUACAAUUUUGAGGGGAAGAAAAAACAAAGCAGUGCUUCUUUGCGCCAUUGUCUCCUUAUCUGGUAGCUAUGGAGAAACUUCUUUAAAAUAGCAGUACUUUCUCCAUCUACAAGUUGAGAUGCCUAAAUUUUAAACCAAAAGCAACCUCUAUCCACUGGGGCUACUUCAAUGAUUUCCCUUUUGUGGUCAUUUGAUCUUGUACAUAACAUUUUCAAAGGAUAAAGAGUUUUGGGUUUGACUGCAACGCCUGACCCAAAAUUUUUUAAAAAAACUAAGAUCUAAAAAUAUUAGGUCUUGCAGGUUCUUUUAUUGCUUGAUUUCUCCAUCAAAUCGAACACAACUUGCACGAAACGGAUCCCCUACAGUUCCUCUACAACCCCAUGUGAACGUUGCAGGAUGAAUGACAACACGGCGUCACCGGGGACGGCGUGAAGAGGUCAAUGCAGGCAGCCUUUUCCUGCAGAUUUGACAACUCAGGGAGGCUACUUUGAACCAACGGUUGGGAUCCUUCCCAACAGAAUCAAGGCUGAAAUUUUUUCCCGGUAUAGACAAGAUUGCCCUCUUCCACCGCCUAUAAAUAGAGGCGGAGUUGAUGGCCUGAUGGAGGAGAAAAUCGAGUCCAAAGUUGACAAAAAAACCAGCCUCCUCCCUAGUUUUUUUUUUCUUUUUCUGCAACAAGUCUCUCUCUCUACACUCUCUCUCACCGUGCUCUCAGCGACUCCAAGCCACGCCGCCACCAGCUCGUCUUCCACCCUCUCCACCACACUUAUUCCUCUCCACCGAAAGCACCUCCUUUUUCCUCCACAACGGCAGCAGCCCAUCAACACCAUCAUUUUCAUUUUCUUUCUUCUCCAGUAUCGGCAACAGCAGCACCGACUCCUCCACAGACGCCGCCACCAGCUUCAGGGCGACUACUCGGACCACCUCCAACCUCACUCCAGGUCGGUGACAUCAACUGCUUCUCCCCCCCGCAAGGUUGCCUCCCGCUCCACUCCGCGGGCUGCAACUGCAAAGUUGCAUAUAGAACGUGAACUUACUGUUCACGUUCUGCACAUAAUUCAUUUCACUUGGGUCAAGCCAGUUCUGGCCCAGACCAAAUGUUUGGGCCGGGUCCGGCCCCCAAAAAGGAGAGAAAGAAAGUAUGUUGGGCCGAUAUCGGCCCAAUCUUUUUGGGGCCGAUAUCGGCCCACUGUUUCUGGGUUUAUGUCUGGCCCAGUCAUCUGGGCCGGCCCAGCCCACCUGUUUUAAUAAUAUUUAUUUAAUAUAUAAUAUUAUAUUAUAUAUUUCUUUUAAAAAAAACAAAAAAUUCCAAAAAAAUUUCAAAAAUCCUUUGAAAAAAAUUGUGAUUUUCUCAAAUAUUUUUUUUACCAAUUUUGCAUAAUAUCGGGUUGUAUAUUUACACUGUAAAAUACAAAUCCUGUAUUAAAAUACCUGGUUUUCUCUGAAAUAUUUCAAAAAAAAGAAAAUUAAAACAUUCUAAAAAAGAAAAAAUAUUUUAUUGCAUACGGCCAAAUCCUAAAAUUUUUCCAAGCAUAUUUUUCAUAUAAAAAAAUGAAAACAAAAAUUGCAUCUUUUUCAUGUUUAAAAAAUCCAAAAAUGGAUAUCGUAACCAAUUUAUGAUUAUCCACUAGGAUUUGGUCAACAUGUCAAAAACCUUUUUCUAAUUUUUUUAGGGUCCAGAUGUAGACUUUAAUAUUUAUGGGUGUAAAAUUACACGAUAAAAUACACCCUCAAGUAUUAAAGAUACAAGGUGUAAAAAUACGAUGCUAAAAUUCAGACUUUAAAACGGUUAGGAUUUAACCCAAUAAGGUAGAGACUUUCUCAUGAAACGAGAUCUGCCUUGAGCCUUAGAAAAGACCAACGAAUAGAAACCCAACUUGGAAAAAAACAAUCAAACAAUAAUGCAGCUUACCUUAGGUAGGGUGCACUAGGUGUGAUGCGUCUUCCCCUUGCACAACCAGUCCCUUACUCAGACUCUCGCAGACCAUAGGUUCCUAGUGACCAUAAUACUAGGUGGCGACUCCUGAAUCUUAAUCAUAAUUUUAUGAUUAAAUCCAAAAAAAUCUUCCUAACACACCUCACAUAGGAGGCACGACAGAAAGCCUUCUUUGUCGCCAGACGACAUCGCACCGGCGCUCGCGCACCCCGCGACAAAGAUAAUUUAAAAAAAAAACCAUAAUAAAAAAAAUUAUGUGGGGAAAGACUGUAACAAUCCACAGUUUAAAAAAAAAUAAAACUAAAUUUCUAAACAGCUUAAUAUAAAAAAAAAAAGAAAAAAAAAAAGAAGGUCUUCGGUGGCCAUUGAUAGCUAUGCGAUGAACUACUCAAAAUGCUAGAACAAUUGCAAAUCCCAGUUGCUAUGUAAUGGAACUUCCAGGCUAAGGCUCCUUUAAAUUACCUGCACGCCCGGCGUAGGAAAUUAUUAUUCUAAUUAUUCAACGACAACUUCAAGACAUGGCUGGCGUCGGGUGAUGACGAAGACAUUAUGACGUAGGUCUGCUGAAGUGGACCAAGUGGUAUUCGCAUUAUCACGUGCUUCUACAACUCUCCUCUUGCUUUUUUUUUUUAAUCUCCUUUUUUUUUGUUUUUGUUUGUGUUCUAGUUUUAUCCAUGGUUUGAUAAUUGUUUUGUGAGUUUGUUAUUAAAUGUAUUUUGUGCUUUUAUCUUUUUAAUAAAAUCUUUAUAUUUAUUGAUUAAAAAAAAUACUUAAUUUGUUUUUUUAAUUAGAAAAUUAUUCUCUUCUGGUUUUGCUGCAUUUGAAAAUGAAUUUUUCUAUCAAAAUUUUUUUUUCUAAUAUAAAUCAAUAAUCAUAUGUAAAUCAAAGUUGAAAUGAACGAACAAACAAACUAUGUACAUGGCAUCUUCCGUAGGAAGCUUAGGAAAGGAUGAAGGCCAAGAAUAAUGUAAAAUAAAAACCUAUGCCUCCACUACCAAUAAUGUAAAAAAAAUUAUUGAGAAAAAUAAAUCAUGAAAAUGUACUUCCAGCUCCAGUCAUCCAAAGCUUCUUAAGUCUUAGAAAAAAACAUUUAACACAAAUCUCGAUAUAAUUCAUAUGUUAAUUAAAUUCUCAAAGAUAUCGAGAGAAUUCUUGAUUAGAUUUUUAACGUAGUCUAUUUUCUAUCAAAUGUGACUUGAUAAUAAUCAUAUGCAUCAAAAUAAAUUCUCUUUAAAUAGUUAUUGGUUUUUUUCUUUUUUUUUAUGUUUUUUUUUUAUUUUUUCUAAAAUUAUCUUUAUUGAUUUUAUUUUUUUAAUAUUUAUUCGCAGUUAUAACACCAUCAAACAUAUUUAUUUUAUAAACUCGUGAUAAUGUGCUAGCAUGCUAUUUAGUAUCAAAUUAUAGUGUGUGUAUAGUAUUACUGUGGAGAUUAUUUUUUAAAAUAUUUUUAUAUGAAAAUAAUAUUUUUUAUUUUUAAAAAAUUAUUUUUAAUAUUAAAAUUUAAAAUGAUAGAAAAAAAUAUAAAAAAAUUAUUUUAAAAAAACAAUUUAUAUUUUUAAAAACACAGUUUAAAAAGCUAUUCCAAACAGCGCUGGAUCCACCACGCAGCUUGGGCUUACGUCCCUUUACGAAAGAUGAGAUUCACAAUAACAAGAGAAGAAGGGUUACUGCUACAAUUACAGGAAUAUUUGCUCUAAAGGUGAAGUUUCUCCAUCCAACCAGGUAGAAACAAAGAGAGUGGCACGAUGGCAUCAAUUUUAUUAGACGAGUGCUAUAAGUUUGGAGUUCACAAUUACUAUUUCUUCUAUUAGAAAACACAUUGCAAUGUAUGUAUAUUCUUUUUUAUGUUGAAAAUUUUUAACGAAGGGCGGGUUAACUAGUUAAUAGUCUCAUGUUCUUUAGAAAUUGAAGGGAUUAAACACUAAAGUAACUAACUUUCCUCGCCAAAAAAAAGGUAUGGUUUGAUUUUUUAACAUAUGAUUGAAAUUUAAGUUUUAAAUUUAAGUUUUAAUCGCCACUAGAUUGGUAGCCUGCAUGCCAUGUCACGCGCUAGCAGGAUUAAUUUUUUUUUCAUCGGAAGAAAAAAAUGCUUAGUCAUUUUAUAUUGGAUUAAUAUGAUUAAAACAAUAGGAAUGAUAAGCAUUUUCCUCUACGAAUGAGGAAAACCUCAUAACAAGUGAUGGAGAUUUGAGAACAACAAGCAACCAUGGAUUCCCAAGUUUCAAAUGGGUCACAGGAUUCACAUAAACUUAGCCAAUCCGGUUAUUUAUUCUUCGUAUCGAAAUACAGGACAUGAAAAUCCUUCAGCAACACACCUCUUAAUUACAUAUCAAUAACAGCAAAGACAUCCACAUCUUCACACACAUGCAACAAACACCUUACAUCGCACGCUUCUUAUAGCAGAAAGCCCAUAAAACCAGAUACAAGGAGCGCUUGCCCGCUUAAGCUCUGCGGCACACAUCUCCAUCGCAGUUCCAUCCUUCCUUUCCCUUUUCACUUCCAGUAUCUUCAUCUUCCUUCAACGCACAUUUCGGGUGAAGAUCAAAGUCACAUUGUUUGCAAUAGAAAGACCAACUAUGUCCUGUUUCACGACAGCCAUUGCAAACAUAUGCUUUGCGUUUAGUACGAAUCAGCUCAUGCUCAGUAUGAAGUUCGUGUUUCACUUUCUCUGGCCACCCCUUUUCCUUUUCCUCAAGCUCCUCCUCCAAUUGCUUUAGAUGUUCCUCGGUAAAUGGAAAAGCAUCUGCCCCGUAAGCUGUCAAGUGCUUCCGAGCUUCCUUGGUAAUGGUCCGGCCACUUGGGCCAAUCGCUACAGCUGCAGGAAUGCCUUGAAUUUUGAAUUUCCGACUCAGGAUUUGUUUCCUUCCAUCAACAAAUGGAAGGGCUAACCAAGGCAUUUCAGAAUAGAACUCGUCAAAGGUGGAUUGAUCGCUGUCGCUUGAGAUGAAGAUCACCUCGAAUGCGUUGUCUUUUCCUUUAAUUGUGUGGUAUGCUUCAAUUAGCUUGGGUAAAAAGGCACGAC